rnacentral:precursor_RNA from 14 species
CCUAUUUCUACUCCAAUAUUUUCGGCAAUUUUUGUACUCAUGUAAGGUGACAAAGAUAGCAAAUUUGACCGUAUCCACGUCAAUUAUCAUGCAUCUUCAUCAGUGCAAGAAUGGCCUUUUUUGGACAUAUUCUGGCAGGUU